GUCUCGCACAUAAUGAAAAAAUAAAUAACCGAUGGUGACACUGAAAGAGAAAUGCUAUAUGAAUUGGAUAGGGGAAAACUUACAAAGCAUAUUGUUCCAGAAGGUUGUAUUAAGAGACUUUCUCUCAUCGUUGGCUGUAAGACAUCAUCGUAAUAAUUAUCGGAUUUUGGAUAAAGGAAGCAUAGUUACUCCUGGGAUGCAUAUAAACACAAACUGACUACUCCAAAGCCAGCAAUGUGCAGAGAAAUGAGUCUAGCGUUUUUAGUUACCGUGAUAUCAUGUUACAUGUCUGCUACAGAAGCUAUGAUAAAUACGGAAACAAUAUUAGGAUGUCAUCCAAGAGAGUAUAAAUUUAAUGCUUCAAAAACUUUAGUGUUGAAUGGACAAAGACUUUCGUGCUGGGAUGUCGUCAAGGUGUAUUCAUGUUGGGGGCGUUGCGAUUCAUUUGAGUAUGGAGACUACAAAAUACCAUAUAGAAUUAGCUACCAUCCGGUAUGUACGUAUACAGGAGAAAUUAAGAGAAAAGUUCGACUCCGUUAUUGCCAUCCGUUAUUCCCGGACAAAUACCGACACUACGAAGUUUUCGAUGCAUCAGGAUGUAACUGUAAACUUUGUAAUUCUAAGAAUACAACUUGUGAAUAUCUAAAUGGAUAAAACAUUAUCUAAAAUCAAAAAGACUAAAAACAUAAACUGUGGCAGAGCAAAAUUGAUAAAUUUUACUUUUAAAGGAUUAAUGAAAUAUUUUGACGAUUGCAAAAUAUCAAUAAAUGAUAUGCAUAUUUUCUUAUGAAUAUUGAAGGUUUUACAAUGUAGAUCUAUCAUAUUUUAUUUUUGUAAUGUUGUCAAACUGCCAUAUUAACUGAUGCGCAGUUAUUACUUUAUACCCUGCAAUGAUGCCCGGAAAGAAGAUUCGCAGAAUAUUAUUAAGAAACGAGAGAUUUUAUUUUCAGCAUUUAAAUGAGUAAUGAUACUUAUGUAAUUAAUAUACGAUUCUAAUAUGGCUGGUUUUGAUUGUAAGUAAACGAAAGACGCGCGGGCCGAUAAGAGAGCAUUAUGACGUUAAUUAUGACGUCAAAAAUUGCCGCAUGGUUCAUGGAUGUAACAUGCAUUCCCACUACCGUCCAUGAACAGGCUGUAUCAAACUAAGCCUGCAACAUUUUCAUUUUUGCCGCGGUGGGGGACAUGUGGAAUUUUCUAUUUUACUGAGGAAUUUAGUUUGUUUUCAGACCCACUACUUUGUUCAAAGGAGGUAACUCCUAAUGCUAUCUAAGCUGAGACCGUGAAAAUGAAAAAUAAAUAGAUAAAACAUAUUUAUUUUUAGCCGGUGAACAAACGGGACAUCUAGUGCGUAGAUAUAAUUUGCAGUCACAAAACAUUUGGUUUAAAAUUCGGAGCUCUUACCAGACUUUUCUUUCCAAAAAUGUUGUGUGUGCGUUCGAUAUGUUACAUCAUCAAAAAUUGUGAAAAUACUGUUACAUAUAGUUCUUAAAUGCUAAUUACGAUUCCACAUAAAAGAAAAUAAAAAUGUAUGAGAAAUG